UUUCAGGGUAUAUAGCAAAAAAUUUGGCAGUGAGAAUUUUAUUCUGUAUGUUUCGUAGAGAUGCAACUAAUAAGGGGCUGGAUUUGUGAUCUCUUCAUACCUAGCAGCAAGUAUGUUAGCUGUCUACUGAUUAAUUCCACUUCAGUGAUAAUGCACUCAGUUGUUCUGUUGGGACUUGUGUUUGAGCUGCAUCUGGGGUUUAGUGGGUGUAGUGCCAAGCACUUCACUGUUUCUGUCGCCCUUUGUGGCCUGUUCAUCUGAGCCUUCCACAGCAUGUUGCUUUUCUUGUGCUGGGAUCUUGAGGCAGUUGUAGGAACAGAUCUCCAAGCACAGAUCUCUUCCUGCUGACUGGCAGUAUUCCUUGUUAUCUGAUGGCCAGCUAUGGUUUUAAGAGAAGAAAUAAGAGCAAGUUUACAAAGCAGGCUCAUUUGAAAUGGUGACUUGUGCCACCCUUACAUCACCCCUGAAUGCCAAAACUACCUUUGAACUUUUCAUAAGGCAGAAUUCAGUUGGUUAUACUUAGGCAAAGCUGUUUUUUAUCUGGUGGAAAAUUUUUAAAGUCAACCUGCUCUUCAGCCAGUGCAUUUUUACUCUGAUUUAAGAACACAGAGAACAAACUACUUGUGGCCUGUGAGUUUAAAGAUCCCACCCAGGCUUUUCUGGUCAUACCAAAGCUACUGAUGGCAGCCUGAAUAUCCUUUUGUAGCUUCUGUAGCCACUAUAAACCUUCCUGCUAAUGAACAAGUAUUUUCUUCUGAGUUAUUUAUUUAAUAAUAAGAAAUUAGGGUUGCAUUUGAAACUACCAUGUUAUGAUUUUAAGCUCCUACCCAUUUUGCACAUGAAAAAACACAUUUUACAAAAGCUUUGGUUAUGCCAGCCAGGGUUGGAGAUGUCCUCUUGCAUCCAGUUAUCCUCUUGGAUAAUUUGGCAGUGUUGAUUGAUAAGAGUUUUUUUCCCAGAUGAAAGCACUAUGUGUUUGACUCCCAAGUAUAUAAUAUGCACUCAGGCAUUUGGCCUCUGAAGCAGCCAUAAGCAAGGCAGGCAGAGUCAAGGAGCCCACUAAAGUACGUAUGGUCUGAACAAGGGCUAAUUCAUUACUGAGAAUAACUUUGAACUGACAGAGAAAGUCAGUGCUUCUUGGUGUAGGAAAGCCAGCUAA